ensembl:lncRNA
GGAAGAUUGAAGUAUUCACAAACAAAAAACACAUGUCAGUGCACAUUCAGCGCACUGGAUCAUCCAGACCUCUUAGGAUGGACGUGGGCCUCGGCUUUGCUACUGUGGCUGUGACGGACGAGAAGCGAAUUGGUCCAUCAGCUUUCCAACAACAACAACAACAGACAGUGAAUGGCGAGUAAAGUACAGCGAAGACUUGGUUAGCGCGCUGAUUAGUCGACAGGCUGUGCGGUUCGGUCAAUCAAGUACGCCUCAAAACUGCUCAUUUAAGGCUCUCGGUUCGAGAUGACGUUUUCAGCAAUCCCCACCGGAGAGAACACAUCCAAGAAGAGAUCUCAUGUUUCUAUCUUUUGUUGUUGUAACACGAAGAUGAGACCAGGGAAUUUCCUCCAUACGUGUCAAAAUCAGCUGAAGACAGCAUCCACAAACAUUCCCACAACCCUUUCGCUUUCCGGAGGAGCGGCGGGGGCCAGAGGUUGGAGGAGGACCUGUCUGAAGCGUCACUACCUCCAUUCCUCAUGGCUACAUCUGCCAGAGCCUCCUCCCACCUGUCUGAUGCUGCUUAGAUUUAUGUGGCUGUAUAGGAAGGAGGCCAAUCCAGUGUGCCAGGCCACGUGUAGGCUUCCCUUUACGCUGACAGUUGUGUGUAUGAUACUGUAGCCGGCUCCCAGUGAGGCUCAGCCCACUAUAUCUGAAAUCUGUCAUAAGUGAAAGCUUGAAAAGGUUAGGACAGUUCAGGGAAGAUAAAUGGUGAAUUGGGAGGACAGCUCCUUCUCCCACUACGCACAGAUGCAGAGUUCCUCCCCGUACGCGCUACACAACAGGCGGGCCGGACCGUGCAAGUUUCUACCGAGCAGGCCGUUCACGUGAGCCACUCUAUUACUCUCAUCAAAACAAAUUAUAACGGAUGGUUAUUGGGUUUUCACAAUGUCUUUUGUAUAAUAAAGCUCGUUAACUGCAUUGGGCAAAACAAAUGGGCAGAAUAAUCCGUAUGGUUAUUGACAUUGUGUCAUUUCCAGUUAGCGCAGGAAGAGGACUCUCACUGUGGCUCCGGGCUUCGCCUUCCAUCUCUCAAGAGGAAGAGCACUAAUGGCUUUUGAAAGCCAGGAUCGAAGGAACUCAUGAGGCUCUGCAGCAUGAGACAAGAGGAGGAAGAGCAUUAUUAAUCCUUGUUCAUCUGAAUACACAACGCUCUGUGCUGCACAACGCUCUGUGCUGCACAGCGCGCAGCCUCCAGACCAGCAUCCUGCUGCCUCUCGUUAACUGAUUGUCGAUGUUGUUCUUUGUGGACACAGACCUAAAUAUUUAGGUUAUGAAGUUAAGAAGUGGGCUGAAUUUACAGCACAGCCAAAAAGUUUUUCAGACACAUCACAAUUUCAGACAAGGAAAGAAACAUCCAGUAAAAUUAUAUUGCUACAAUGAACUGUCUCCUGUUGCAAGCUUACAGAAACCUCACCAAAAGAGUUUCCAUUUUUCAAUUUAAGGUCUUUUACAUGGAUGUCAAUAUAUAUUGUUAUUGUCACGAACACACGCGCACAAAAUUGGAAUAUUACAAUGCAAAAAUCGUCAUUUCGAUUUACAAACAAAAUUUAGCCAAUCACAUUAUCUGGAACUGGUUGUGUUGGGCAAAAAUGGAUCCAAUACCAACCUCCUUUUCAGUCUAUGACAUCAAACUUUGUUGCACAGCGAAUACCAGAUCGACCACUUCCAUUCUUCCCUUUCACAA